AGUGAACGCUGGCGGCGUGCUUAACACAUGCAAGUCGAACGGUAACAGGAACUAGCUUGCUAGUUUGCUGACGAGUGGCGCACGGGUGAGUAAUAUAUAGUUAAUGUACCCCAAAGACUGGGAUAGCCACUGGAAACGGUGAUUAAUACUAGAUACACCUCUUUAACAUAAGUUAGAGAGGGAAAUGUCUUUUCGCUUUGGGAUCAGACUAUAUCCUAUCAGUUAGUUGGUGAGGUAAUGGCUCACCAAGGCAAUGACGGGUAGCGGGUUUGAGAGGAUGAUCCGCCACACUGGUACUGAGACACGGACCAGACUCCUACGGGAGGCAGCAGUGAGGAAUAUUGCACAAUGGAGGAAACUCUGAUGCAGCAACGCCGCGUGGAGGAUGACGCAUUUCGGUGUGUAAACUCCUUUUAUAUGUCAAGAAAAUGACGGUAGCAUAUGAAUAAGCACCGGCUAACUCCGUGCCAGCAGCC
rnacentral:rRNA from 1 species